GCUUAAGGCCAUAUCAGCCUGGGUACUUCCGAUCUCGUCUGAUCUCGGAAGCUAAGCAGGGUCGGGCCUGGUUAGUACUUGGAUGGGAGACCGCCUGGGAAUACCAGGUGCUGUAAGCA
rnacentral:rRNA from 1 species